rnacentral:rRNA from 1 species
UACGUAGGGAGCAAGCGUUGUCCGGAAUCAUUGGGCGUAAAGCGCGCGUAGGCGGCCUCAUAAGUCCGUUGUGAAAGUCAAAGGCUCAACCUUUGAAAGCCGAUGGAUACUGUGAGGCCAGAGUACGGAAGAGGCGAGUGGAAUUCCUGGUGUAGCGGUGGAAUGCGCAGAUAUCAGGAGGAACACCAAUAGCGAAGGCAGCUCGCUGGGACGUUACUGACGCUAAGGCGCGAAAGCGUGGGGAGCGAACAGG